GGCAUAGCUCAGUGGCAGAGUGCAUGCUUAGCAUGCAUUAAGUCCUGGGUUCAAUCCCCAGUACUGCCA
rnacentral:tRNA from 1 species